rnacentral:rRNA from 1 species
UACAGAGGUCCCGAGCGUUGUUCGGAUUCACUGGGCGUAAAGGGUGCGUAGGUGGCUUGAAAAGUUUGAUGUGAAAGCUCAGGGCUUAACCCUGAAAUGGCAUUGAAUACUGUCGAGCUGGAGGUUUGGAGGGGGGACUGGAAUUCUUGGUGUAGCAGUGAAAUGCGUAGAUAUCAAGAGGAACACCAGUGGCGAAGGCGGCGAGCUGGCCUGUACCUGACGCUGGAGGCGCGACAGCGUGGGGAGGCAAACAGG